UACGUAAGGACCCGAGCGUUGUCCGGAAUCAUUGGGCGUAAAGGGUACGUAGGCGGGUCAUUAAGUUAGAAGUCAAAGGCUAUAGCUCAACUAUAGUAAGCUUCUAAAACUGGAGACCUUGAGUAAUGGAAGGGAAAGUGGAAUUCCUAGUGUAGCGGUGGAAUGCGCAGAUAUUAGGAGGAAUACCGGUGGCGGAGGCGACUUUCUGGCCAUUAACUGACGCUGAGGUACGAAAGCGUGGGUAGCAAACAGGAUUAGAAACCCUAGUAGU
rnacentral:rRNA from 1 species